AGUCCUGAAAGUUUUUUCUCGUUGAAAAGAGCCAUGUGCAGCUUGACAUAAAGUCUGAGCUCUGGAUGAGCAGAAAUGUGGAUUCUACCGCAGAACGUUUGAGAGAACGAUCAAAGUUUGGGUUUCUUUUUGUUGAGCCUGCGCUGCUUCUGCGUCCGAGUCGGGAAACAAAGACACGGCAGGCUCAAUGAAGAAUGCCAGGCUGCACAGCUCUCUUCCUCUCAGCAUUAACAGUGACUCUCUUCUGUGCUGUAGUCGGUCAGACUAAAUUCACUGUAAGUGCAGAACAGGAGGUCUACCGUGCAGAAGAAAACACUAACGUCACAAUGAUCUGGCUGCUCCAUUAUGACACCAACAGGCCUCCUGACUCCCUGCUAAUAGACCUAAUGAAUGUGAUAAGGACGACACAGAUUUUCUUCUAUAACAGUGACACUGACACUGAAGUGUACCCAGAUGAGAACUACAGAGGGCGACUACAUUGUGAUCCACGGCUAGCCAGGAAAGGAAGGCUUGAAUGUCUUUUAACCGAUGUAAGGCUUAACGACACGGGGACAUAUGACUGUAUGAUUGUCCUUAACAGAGAAAGUAGCUACAAAACAUGUGACCUCAAUGUUAAAGCUGCCUUCAAGAAACCUGUGGCAGAGACAUCGACACCAGUGAGGAGUGGGAGGAGCAGCCUAUAUGCAGUGCCAGCUUUGUUUAUAGUGGCGAUUUUUGUACUUUUUUGUAAAUAACUGCUGUGUAUUUAUGUGAAGUAGCAGCCCAUUACAGAUCACUCCUGAGGUCAGCUCUGACUGUAAUGAGGCUGCUGACAUUUUUUUUAAAGUACUGUCACAAUUCCUCAGAGCUGUACCACAGAGCAGUGCACACUUACAUCAUCCUUCACUCUCCCAUAUUUAACACAAACUUAUGCACUUUUAUUCCCUAGUUUGUUUGUUUUUUUCAAUGAUUUUUCCAUUAUUUUUACACCCUGACUUGCUGCAUCCCAUGUUGUUAUGUUUAGACUAAAACAUGUGGAAAAGAGAAGUUUAAUCAUCACUUUACCAAAAACACUAUUUAUCCCAAAUCUGAAACAUGUUCGUUCAUCCUCGCUGGAUUGUUAUUCACACCACAAUAUUGUCAUUAUUCACACAAUGUAUUUAUUUUUCAUUGGUACACUGUGUGGCUAGCACAAAUGCUAACCAUAAACUGAAAGUAAAAGGGUAAGCAGCUGCUUUGUUAUAGUUCUUACAGUUUUAAUGCUACCUCAGCUUUAUAAGUUUAUGUUUUUGUACUGAAGGAGUUAAAAAUAUAAUUAACUCUGGUGCUAAUGGAGCUCCUUCAGUUUACAUAGAAGUGUUUUUGUAUCAGCUUCUGUUUCCAAACCAUCUUCUUCUAUGGAGCAGUUUAGACUUUAUAAAGGUUUAUGUGCAGCUCUGCUUCAAAGCUCAACAUGGUCAAAAUAGUUUGCCGUUUGUCAUUAAUGCAAACUAGUGUUAUGAAGUUCACCGAUCAGUGUUUAUCCAUCAUUGAUCUUAAGAAGAAUGCACUUUGCUCACAGCUGAUGACAAAGACUUGAUUGGAAUCAGUAAUUUGAUGAAUGUUUUUUUUUCCUUGACAUGUUUCUACCUCAUAUUAUCCACUUUACAUUGGUCCAGAGGAGUCGUCCAUUACAGAUUGCCUCUCAGUUAACCUCUUUCUGUAAUGGCAUGUUAAUAUUAACUGGGAUUUCCUGUCCAGAUUUUAAUCAUCCACCAGACACUGUAAUGUCUGCUGGACGUUUUUUUCAAGUUGUUGGUGUGACCAGAGAGGUGCAAUGAGUGAGAUUAAUUACUUAGUGGAAUAUGUUUUACCUCACGUUUUAUCAAAGGGAGCUUCAUUAAUUCAUAAGAUUAACCAAUAAGAUGCUCUCUCACCUUAUUUGUUGCCGUUAUACUUUCUAAUAACCUUUUUUUGGUCUCUGACUGGGGUGUUAGAUUUUUCUGAGCAUUUUGUUGAACCAUAGUAAAUCCCUCUGGUCUUAAUUCCAGUGUUAGAUCCUCGAGGUCUUUAUUCCAUCACCUUUUUGUAAUCAACUGAAUGAACACUGAUUUAAAAAAAAAUGAUGGCACAUUGUUUUUCAGAAAUUUCAGAGAAAAGCAGCAGAACAGCAGGAAAGUUUCACUGAGUUUCAGUGAAAGUUUCAGAUUAAUCUGUGGCAUGUCUGCUUGAACUGUAGUGUCAUGGUGUGUCCAGUUCCUUUUUUAUAAACCUUCGAAACUGGACCAUCAUCAUUAGCAGAGGUUGACAACGAGAUCGACCCUCACACAUACCUCAGCCUCAGUUAUUUGUUUACCAGCAAAACUGGAGACAGGGUUUGAGAACGAUGCACUAAAUGGGAAAGGAUCCACAAUUUGUGGAGGUUUACUCAAACAUAUCUCAGCCUAAGCUGUCUUUAUUAGUUUUGAAAAAUAAAAUACCUCAAACCUUCUGAGAGAAAGCUGAUCUGUCACCAACUUUAUUGGGAUGUGGAGAUUGUGAGGGUGCACUGCAAAGUGGGUAGACUCUGAGGGCACUGAUUUUAGGAGUUUGUAGAAGUACAGUACAUGAUCAACUGUAAAACUGUACUAACAAAAACUGUAUAAAAAUAAAGAGACAUGUCUAGAUCUCCUUUUCAGGAUGAGAAGUAACAGGAGUUCAAGUGAAACGAUGCAACAGAAGACGGGUUAUGUAAUAUUAUUACUGGUAUAACUGCUCUUAUAUUAUUAUAUUAGAUUAUUAUUAUUAUAACUAUGAUAUUAGUAGUAUUAUCAUAGUUUAAUAGUCUGAAUUGUUUUCAAAUCUUUAUAGAAAGGAUAAACAACAGCCACUGGAUGUUUUUGUCUUCUCACAGGAGCUGAAGAAGAAAUACAGAUUACAUGACUGGAACAACGUUUAAACUGUUUUUGUGUAAAAUUGAGUAAUAGUGUCUCUAUUACUGAUGAAUCCCAAAUUCACUAUGACCACAAUCAAUAAUUUGUAUUACAUUUUUUUUAGGCUCAUUUGUCGUUUUCUGUGUUUUGCAUAAUCUGAAACAAGAUUCAGUCUUGUUCCAGAUUUGUUUUCAUUUUGCACUGAAACUGAAUAAGUUUUUAUCCACUAAACAAGUGCCCAUUCCUCAAAGAAAACACCUGUUUGUACCUAUUUGACAGAGUUAUACAGUUAUGAAUGUGUCUUUUUCAGUGGCUGUCUGUUUUUUUACAACAGAUUAUUCAUUGCAUUAUGACUCAGAGCUGAGGCGUUAAGUACAGUGGCAAUUUUCAUUAAUCAUUUCUAAAUCCAAACAUAUGACUAAC